GUAAAGGAGGAUACUUGGGGUAUGCAAGAGAAAUGACAGUAAGUUUGUUUUGGUUGCAUUAAAUUUUUGUCACUUUGUUGCUGUUGGUGCCACUAAUUCGACCUUCUUUUAGGUAGAAGCCGAUGAUUCUUCUACAUUAACAAGGAUUAACUGCUUUCUCAAUGAUGCAUUACAAUCUUCAUGUGAAGGAAUUAUGGUUAAAUCUCUUGAUGUAGAUGCUGGGUAUACACCAUCAAAGCGCUCUGAAGCAUGGCUGAAGGUUAAGAAAGAUUAUAUGGAAGGAUUAAGUGACUCCCUCGACUUGUAUUGUUUUGAAUUGUGAGGAAUGCCCCAACAAUCAUACAAUCUUUCAGUGUGGAUGGAUCAAGUGGACAACUGAUUGAAGCUUCAAAUUUUGAUCUAUCAUCAGUAAAACCUUAUUGAAACUAGUGAUUCCUCGAAUUAAGCAUCUAAGGAACCAGAGAGAGAUUCAGAUGAAGCAGAUGCGUAGAGAAAUAGCAAAAUUUCUUGAAACUGGUCAAGAAGCUACUGCUCUGAUUUGGGUAGAGCAUAUUAUAAGAGAAGAGAAAAUGAUGGCUGCACAGGAGAUAAUUGAAUUAUUUUGUGAACUUAUAUCCAUUCGCCUUCCAAUUAUUGAGGCGCAGAGGGAAUGCCCUCUGGAUUUGAAAGAAGCGAUUUCCAGUAUAUGUUUUGCUGCAUCGAGAUGUGCAGAUGUUACAGAGUUGGUGCAAGUUUAAAUGUUGUUUGCUGGAAAAUACGGGAAAGAAUUUGUUGUUGUUGCGGCUGAACUGAUGCCCGAGUGUGGUGUCAAUCGCCAGGUUAUACACAUUCUGGUUUUAUGACAUAGCUAAAGAAGCAGCUCAGCUGAGCUUCAUAUAGUUUUUAAAGGUGUUUUUAUUACUGCGUAUUUGCAGUUAAUAGAGCUAUUAUCUGUUCGAGCUCCUGGUCCCGAUGUGAAACUCAAGCUGCUAAAGGAAAUUGCUUUGGAGCAUGAACUAGAGUGGGAUCCAAGUGCAUCUGAAACUGAAUUAUGGAAACUUUGUGAAGACCUACUUGUAUGCUUUAUCUUCUAACCAUGUCAUUUUGCCUUUAUAUUUAACGUUUGUAACCUUGAUUGUGCUUCUGUUUCUUGUAGAAUGGACCAACGCAAUUUAAUAUAGUCAAUUUGUCAGUUUUGUCCAAGUUUUUGAAAGUGUAUUUCAGGAAAAUGCUUGACACAGAAGAUCUUGAAGAAGAAACCUAAGAAGUCCCCAAGGAUGAAGAUGGGACAUUGAUGAAGGUUUUCCGCCCUGAGGAGAUUAGUGCCAUGAUUCUUACUAAGAUGAAGGAAACAUACAGAUGAAGCUUAUGUUAGCUUGGAAAGACAAUAAGGAUGCAGUUAGUUGUGACCGUUAUGUUCUAGCCGAAGACAUGCCCUCUGGCCGAUCUGAGACAUCCAAUUAUCAGCGUUGUGUAUCAGAGAUCUGGUGGAGCCCCUGGAGGUGGUGGAAGCAGUGAAGACUAUGAUGAAUGAUUAUUCUUCCUCUUAUUAUUUUUUCUAUGUAUGAGAAAUUUUAUUGAUGCGUAGCUAGGAUAGGCUAAAGUUGGAUAAUGUUGUGUAUUUCUGGUUUCCCUUCCGAACUGAAACAAUUGC